rnacentral:rRNA from 1 species
GAUGAACGCUGGCGGCGUGCCUAAUACAUGCAAGUCGAGCGAACGGACGAGAAGCUUGCUUCUCUGAUGUUAGCGGCGGACGGGUGAGUAACACGUGGAUAACCUACCUAUAAGACUGGGAUAACUUCGGGAAACCGGAGCUAAUACCGGAUAAUAUUUUGAACCGCAUGGUUCAAAAGUGAAAGACGGUCUUGCUGUCACUUAUAGAUGGAUCCGCGCUGCAUUAGCUAGUUGGUAAGGUAACGGCUUACCAAGGCAACGAUGCAUAGCCGACCUGAGAGGGUGAUCGGCCACACUGGAACUGAGACACGGUCCAGACUCCUACGGGAGGCAGCAGUAGGGAAUCUUCCGCAAUGGGCGAAAGCCUGACGGAGCAACGCCGCGUGAGUGAUGAAGGUCUUCGGAUCGUAAAACUCUGUUAUUAGGGAAGAACAUAUGUGUAAGUAACUGUGCACAUCUUGACGGUACCUAAUCAGAAGGCCACGGCUAACUACGUG